GGCUGGGGGUGCUUCGCUCAGCCAAUCCGGACGCGCCCAGGCGUCGCGGCCCCGCCUCCUCCCCGGCGCUCUGGGCCCUUAGCGCUCCGCGGGAAGGAGGCUGGAACCCCGGCAGCAGUGGGGCGGGGAUGGAGGCGGCCGUGGCGCCGGGGAGGGAUGCGCCGGCACCCGCGGCGAGUCAGCCCAGCGGCUGCGGGAAACACAACUCGCCGGAGAGGAAAGUUUAUAUGGACUAUAAUGCAACGACUCCCCUGGAGCCAGAAGUUAUCCAGGCCAUGACCGAGGCCAUGUGGGAAGCCUGGGGAAAUCCCAGCAGCCCGUAUUCAGCAGGAAGAAAGGCCAAGGAUAUUAUAAAUGCAGCUCGGGAAAGCCUCGCGAAGAUGAUAGGGGGGAAACCUCAAGAUAUAAUCUUCACUUCCGGGGGCACUGAGUCAAAUAAUUUAGUAAUCCAUUCUGUGGUGAAACAUUUCCACGCAAACCAGACCUCCAAGGGACACACGGGUGGGCACCACAGCCCAGUGAAGGGGGCCAAGCCCCAUUUCAUUACUUCCUCGGUGGAACACGACUCCAUCCGGCUGCCCCUGGAGCACCUGGUGGAAGAACAAGUGGCAGCCUACUCAAUGUGAAGAUGAUGAAGAUGAAGACCUUUAUGAUGAUCUGCUUCCACUUAAUUAAUACGGCCACCUUUGUCCCGGUGUCCAAGGUGAGCGGGCAGGCAGAGGUGGAUGACAUCCUCACGGCAGUCCGCCCGACCACACGCCUCGUGACCAUCAUGCUGGCCAACAAUGAGACUGGCAUUGUCAUGCCUGUCCCUGAAAUCAGUCAGCGCAUUAAAGCCCUGAACCAGGAACGGGUGGCAGCUGGGCUGCCUCCCAUCCUCGUGCACACAGAUGCUGCACAGGCCUUGGGGAAGCAGCGCGUGGAUGUGGAGGACCUGGGCGUGGACUUCCUUACAAUCGUGGGGCACAAGUUUUAUGGUCCCAGGAUUGGCGCACUUUAUAUACGAGGACUUGGUGAAUUUACCCCUCUCUACCCUAUGCUAUUUGGAGGUGGACAAGAACGGAAUUUCAGGCCAGGGACAGAGAACACCCCAAUGAUUGCCGGCCUUGGGAAGGUGAGCCCUGGUGAGCUUGAGGAGAUGAGUUGAUUGCUUUGUCAUCAGUGUCCCCAGCGGCUCUAGUAGGAAUCUGGGGCUUUAGGGAGAUCAUAUUCGUGAUCUCAUAAGCGGACUGACAAGAAAAAGCCUGGAAUCUGAUUUAUCAACCUGGAGAGCUGUACUUUUUCAGAUCUGUGGAUUAGUGGCACUUGUUUAGCAUUUAAAAGGGAAAAACUCCUUGUCUCUGUCUCUUCUGACAUGAGAAACAGUGAUACUGUUACAGCAGAGGUGAAGUGUCAAGCUGCAGGUUCACCAUUCCCAAAGGCGUCGGCAGCCCCCGCACCAUUGACGUUCUGUCCCCGAUUGGUCUGUGGGGUGGUCAAUCCAGCACCUGCCGCCAGCCCUCCACUGGGGCCUGUCCUGCUUCUGCGACAGUAACCAGGCUCAGGUUUUGCUGUGCGAAGGCAGAGGUACUGGUCACACCUCGGCGUCUGCAGGCUGCUCCCUCACUGUGCGGCCUCUGGUCAAAGGCCACCACCUUCAAGCAACCCUCCAUGAACCACAGCUACAUUGGUCCCCCCAUGUCCCCUGCUGUCACUCUCUAUCCCUGACACUGCUUUAUUUCCCCUAUCUGAUGUUUCUCUGUAGUGUGUUCAGAUGUAUGCCCCACCUUCUGCUUCCCCGAGAGCAGGGGCUUGGCCAUGUCGGCCUCAGUAUCCCCAGUACAGAGAAAGCGCUUGGCGCCCAGGAGGCCGGGCCUUGGGAAGAGUAUGAAUGGAUUCCCUGUUACUUAGAAUAUUCAAAAUUAUAUUAUUAACAGUGAUAACUAUGGCUACAUUUACUAGAAGGAAGAGUGUGUGUUUGUUUGAGAUGGAAUCUCACUCUGUCACCCAGGCUGGAGUGCAGUGGCACGACCUUGGCUCACUGCAGCCUCCAUCUCCCGGGUUCAAGAGAUUCUCCCACUUCAGUCUCCAAGUAGCUGGAACUACAGGCAUGCGCCACCAUGCCUGGCUAAUUUUUGUAUUUUUAGUAGAGACAGGGUUUCACCAUGUUGUCCAGCUGGUCUCGAACUCCUAACCUCAGGUGAUCCACCCGCCUUGGCCUCCCAAAGUGCUGGGAUUACAGGCAUGAGCCACCACGCCCAGCCGGAAGAGUGUGUUUUAAGUGGAGUCCAGUACCUGCUCGUAUUGACCUGAGUGAUGAAGUAGUGGUGCCAUCCACAGGCUUUGAAAUACCCAGGGUUCAAAUCCUGGCUUGAAGCUUCACUCACCGUGUGCCUUGGGUCAGGUCGCUGGAACUCCCUGAGUCCUGGCUGCCAGAUGGGAAUCACGGUAACAGCUUCCUAGGUAGAGCUUCAGCUCACAGUGCUGGAAGCCCCCCAGCCCCUGACCUUCUCCGUGCUCCUGCAGCUGCAUCUGCACCUGUAAUGGCACAAGUGCCACAGCUGGGUCCCAGCCACAGCACCACACCCCCACUGGUUCUUCAGCUUCGCCCAGCCCAGACCCCAAUGCCACCAGCGCUCUAGACAGUCCCCCUCCGCCACCCAGCCUAGACUCCAUCCUGCACACGCCCUCCCCAGCAUGCUUUCCCUCACCCAUUCCUUUCUGCCUUGGUUGCGUGCUGGCAGCCCUGCACCUGAGCCCUUGUGGGUCCGUCUGUCUGUCCUGUCACUGUGAUGCUAGCUUGUGCUCCUGCCUUUAAACUUGACAUCUCAGCUAGGCCCUGGCCCAUGUCCUGAGAGAUCCAUUCCUCUGAGUUCAAAACCUGUCCCGACUGCUCUCCAACCCUCUUCCCACCCUGGGCACCUCUUGCUAUCCAGGUUCUCACCUCUGAAGUCCGGGGGAUGCCCUCAGUCCCUCCUUGUCAUCGUCCCCCCUUGUCAUCGUCCCCUGCCUCCCAUGCAGCACCUUCCUGUCUGUCUGGAUUCCAGAAUACACUCACUACCGGCCUCAUGUCCAUUUUCAUGGCCACCAACCCUAGACCAAGGGUCUGGAUGCCUGCCAUGGCCUCCUGGGGGCCUGCUGCUGCCAUUUUCCACACGGCCACAGAAUGACCAACAGACAGGCCAGUCAGACCAUCGCAUCCCUCCCUCAGCCUCACUGCGUCUGCCCCGUGGCCGGGCCUGCAGGGCCUGUCGAUCUGUCCCUGCGCCUUUACCCCCUCCACACUCUCCACCCGCCACGCCAGGCCCCUCUGUUCUAGAGACAGAAUGCCUGUCUGUCACCACCCCACCUUGGGCCUGCGAGGUCCCUUCACAGCGCCAACUGGUGGGUAGGAGUCUGUUCCCCUCUUCCCCUGCUUUUGUCCGUCUGCCUCUCUGGGAUGCUGGCUCCUCGAGGGAGCCCUUUCAGGGCUGCUUUGCUGAGGCAUCUCCAGUGCCUGGUGCUGUCAGGAGGUACCUGGUGAAGUCAGUUUCUGGGGCACUUCCACACCCUCCAAAUGGCAGCACUCAAAAAAUAUGGUCUGUCUGUGACUGUCAGGAGAAUGAGCAGUUUCAGGAAAUGCCACCUGUACCGUUGAAAGCUUUUUGGCCCUCCUUUAUUUUGCAAGAAUUGUGCAUCCACUUGUUGUGUGUCUGCCCCCAGGCCGCGGAGCUGGUGACCCAGAACUGCGAGGCUUAUGAGGCCCACAUGAGGGACGUCCGCGACUACCUGGAAGAGAGGCUGGAAGUGAGCGCAGCGUGGGGUGGGCACCAGGAGGGGGAGGGUGCGUGGGGCAGGUGCCCAGAGAGGGGGGGUGUGGUGCUCCCGGACCCCAGGACCUGUGGGGAUUGCAGCGUAGCCUGGAACUCAGCAGGAUGCAGUGAGGGAAGAAAGAACAGUGGCGGAAAGUACAUUGGGAUCUGAAACCCCGAAAGCAGGACCCUAGGCCAGGGGCAUGAUCUUUUUCAGAGACACAGGAUCAAAUAUGCAGAGGUGGUAUACUUCAUGGUUUAUGUGGAAGGUUCAUAUGUUUCUGAAUAUUUGGUUUUUCUCCUAAUUAACUUUGCUUUCCAUAGUCCGUCCCCGUAACUAUUCUGGGUAGAUGCUGAUUGAAAAGUAUGCACCUGCUGAGGUUGUGUUUCUGGAAAAGUCUAAAUUUCAAACAGUUGCUGGUGGUGGUGUCUUUGAAGCUGUCACCAAAUAUUUCACUUAUUUUCUUCAGGCUGAAUUCGGUCAGAAGAGAAUCCAUCUGAAUAGCCAGUUUCCAGGCACCCAGCGGCUUCCCAACACCUGCAACUUUUCCAUCCGGGGACCCCGGCUUCAAGGCCACGUGGUGCUUGCGCAGUGCCGAGUGCUGAUAGCCAGUGUGGGGGCCGCGUGCCACUCGGACCACGGGGACCAGCCGUCCCCAGUGCUGCUGAGCUACGGUGUCCCCUUCGACGUGGCCAGGAACGCGCUCCGGCUCAGCGUGGGCCGCAGCACCACCAGGGCCGAGGUGGACCUCGUCGUGCAGGACCUGAAGCAGGCCGUGGCGCAGCUGGAGGACCAGGCCUAGCGCUGGGGCCGCCUUCCCCACCCCGCUUCUAGGAAGCCCGUGGCAGGGCACAGGGUUGUCCCUCCAGUUCCCUCCUGAGGGCUGUGCCAGGAUGACUGUCUCAUGCCCCCUCUGCAUUUUGUCCUGGAGUGCCUGCGAGUGUGCACCCCCAGUUUCCUUCCCUGGACCCCUGCAGAGCUCACAGGGCCCAGGACACCAACGCCGCAUAGGACCGCCCACAUAGGAACGCCCACAUAGAAUCGUCCUCCAGUGGUGAAGCGGAAACACUUCAGCUUUAUCCACCCUCCCCACUGUGAACUGGGCAAGCCUGUUGUGAGUGCCCUUUCCUGGAAGGUGUUUUUAUCUGGAAGAUAGAAUCCAAGUAUUUAUAACUCAUUGUCAGCCAAAUGCUAUCAUGAACGUAGGAAACUUGAUUUUUUUGUUUUGAUCAUGGCCUCUACAUGCACCUUUCCAGAGUGGUCUCUUCUCAGGCCCUUUUUAGUCCCUUUCCAAAGCUGCCCCCACCACCCUGCUCCUCUGGCCUCAGUGCGCAGUGGCCCCCAGCCUCGGCCAGGCCUGCUCUGCUCAGCGCCCACCGCCCACCACCCCUCCUGCUUCCCCGAGCCUGACCCUGUUCCGCCCACUGGCAAUCAGGGCUGCGCCCUUCCCCAUCCACGGUCCCCAGGCCUUCCUGUCUUGUCCCUUUUGAUCAUUAACUCAGGGUUUCAGCUCCAACCUCGCUGAGUUGGUGCAGCUCCGGGUCAUUCCUGGGGUGGGAAUCGGAUCAUCCCUGACUCAGCUUUUACCUUAAUUUUAUUUGCAGAGGAUUCUUUUCUCAAAAUGCUCUGGCAUUUGGACACACAUCACAUGUCGGUAUUUGCAUAGGAGUCAUUUUCAGUGGAAUAACAUUUUUAAUGUGUGGUUUUACGGUUCAAGGAACUACAUGAUGAUUUUGAGGAAACACUUGCCAGAAACUAAAUUAACGAAUAAAAGAUUUUAGUGCCCG
rnacentral:sRNA from 1 species